AUCAUGCUCCGCGGCGCACGUCCAGAGCUUUUCCAGCCAGGACUUCAUCUCCCAUCAUGCCCCGCGCCCCACCGAGAGCCAUUGCAGCUGCGCUUUGAACUCCCGUGAUGCUCCCCGGCCCCGUUAAACUGUAUUAGACCCGCGCCUACAACUCUCAUCACCCCCCGCGCCCCAGAGAGCCUAAUCAGAGCCCCCAAGGGCCCACCUGGACCCCGCAGGGCCCCAAAUUCUCCUCCGUGACUUCCAAGGGCCCCCCUGGGCCCCCAAGUGCUGCCCCGGACCCCGAACUGUCCCUCGGAAUCCCUGAGUGCCCCUCCAAGUGCCCACCCGGCUCCCCCAAGUGUCCUCCAGACCCUCAAGUUCUCUCUGAAUUCCCUCCCCAGACCCAGAACUGCCCCAAAUGUGCCCCAGAAAGUUCUCCCUGGACCCCAAAGUGGUCCCUUUUACCCUGUCUGUGAAAAUGAUAAAAAAGAUGACAAAAAGAUUGAAAAUGGGACUAAUUAGCAUAAAGAAGGAGAAAUCAACAGCCACACUGGUCAAUGAAUUAAUGAAGGGAAUUGUGUUCCUUAGAACCAAUUACCAAUAAAUUUUUUGCUUGCUAAAAAGCUUUGGAAUAUAUAUAUUGGAAAUAUGCUUAUCUCACGCCUUAUUGAAGCAGAGAAAAACAGUUUGAGAAAGGAAGAUGAACAUCACAUCAAGGAUUUAUAGUUUCAACCAAAGGGAAGCUGGACAUCACUGUUAUGAGAUUUAUAGUCUCUGCAAUUAAAAGGUGGACCCACAUCUGGGGAGCUGGACUCCACCAGAUGGGAUUCGUCUUUCUUCUUUUGGAAACCGGACCAGCACCAUCUGGGGAUACUCCUUUGAAAAUACAUCCUGAGAAAUUAAAAUCACAAUAGUGUAUAGAAUUGUGAUGUAAUAAUUUGGAAUAAAAUUUGCUGAUGAGUAAAAAUUGGAAAUAGAAACUGCUGAAAAAAACUGAUGAGUACCCCUAUAAAUACCUGUAACCCUCAAGUAUCGGUGUGCAGUUGGAGGGAACACUUCCCCCACUGUACCCAGCGCUGUAUUGCUCAUACUUUACCAGAUUAAAUAAUAAAUUGAUUGCUGCUUGAAUA